UUAAGCGACUAAGCGUACACGGUGGAUGCCCUGGCAGUCAGAGGCGAUGAAGGACGUGCUAAUCUGCGAUAAGCGUCGGUAAGGUGAUAUGAACCGUUAUAACCGGCGAUUUCCGAAUGGGGAAACCCAGUGUGNNNNNNNNNNNNNNNNNNNNNCCAUCCUCCAAGGCUAAAUACUCCUGACUGACCGAUAGUGAACCAGUACCGUGAGGGAAAGGCGAAAAGAACCCCGGCGAGGGGAGUGAAAAAGAACCUGAAACCGUGUACGUACAAGCAGUGGGAGCACGCUUAGGCGUGUGACUGCGUACCUUUUGUAUAAUGGGUCAGCGACUUAUAUUCUGUAGCAAGGUUAACCGAAUAGGGGAGCCGAAGGGAAACCGAGUCUUAACUGGGCGUUAAGUUGCAGGGUAUAGACCCGAAACCCGGUGAUCUAGCCAUGGGCAGGUUGAAGGUUGGGUAACACUAACUGGAGGACCGAACCGACUAAUGUUGAAAAAUUAGCGGAUGACUUGUGGCUGGGGGUGAAAGGCCAAUCAAACCGGGAGAUAGCUGGUUCUCCCCGAAAGCUAUUUAGGUAGCGCCUCGUGAAUUCAUCUCCGGGGGUAGAGCACUGUUUCGGCAAGGGGGUCAUCCCGACUUACCAACCCGAUGCAAACUGCGAAUACCGGAGAAUGUUAUCACGGGAGACACACGGCGGGUGCUAACGUCCGUCGUGAAGAGGGAAACAACCCAGACCGCCAGCUAAGGUCCCAAAGUCAUGGUUAAGUGGGAAACGAUGUGGGAAGGCCCAGACAGCCAGGAUGUUGGCUUAGAAGCAGCCAUCAUUUAAAGAAAGCGUAAUAGCUCACUGGUCGAGUCGGCCUGCGCGGAAGAUGUAACGGGGCUAAACCAUGCACCGAAGCUGCGGCAGCGACGCUUAUGCGUUGUUGGGUAGGGGAGCGUUCUGUAAGCCUGCGAAGGUGUGCUGUGAGGCAUGCUGGAGGUAUCAGAAGUGCGAAUGCUGACAUAAGUAACGAUAAAGCGGGUGAAAAGCCCGCUCGCCGGAAGACCAAGGGUUCCUGUCCAACGUUAAUCGGGGCAGGGUGAGUCGACCCCUAAGGCGAGGCCGAAAGGCGUAGUCGAUGGGAAACAGGUUAAUAUUCCUGUACUUGGUGUUACUGCGAAGGGGGGACGGAGAAGGCUAUGUUGGCCGGGCGACGGUUGUCCCGGUUUAAGCGUGUAGGCUGGUUUUCCAGGCAAAUCCGGAAAAUCAAGGCUGAGGCGUGAUGACGAGGCACUACGGUGCUGAAGCAACAAAUGCCCUGCUUCCAGGAAAAGCCUCUAAGCAUCAGGUAACAUCAAAUCGUACCCCAAACCGACACAGGUGGUCAGGUAGAGAAUACCAAGGCGCUUGAGAGAACUCGGGUGAAGGAACUAGGCAAAAUGGUGCCGUAACUUCGGGAGAAGGCACGCUGAUAUGUAGGUGAAGUCCCUUGCGGAUGGAGCUGAAAUCAGUCGAAGAUACCAGCUGGCUGCAACUGUUUAUUAAAAACACAGCACUGUGCAAACACGAAAGUGGACGUAUACGGUGUGACGCCUGCCCGGUGCCGGAAGGUUAAUUGAUGGGGUCAGCGCAAGCGAAGCUCUUGAUCGAAGCCCCGGUAAACGGCGGCCGUAACUAUAACGGUCCUAAGGUAGCGAAAUUCCUUGUCGGGUAAGUUCCGACCUGCACGAAUGGCGUAAUGAUGGCCAGGCUGUCUCCACCCGAGACUCAGUGAAAUUGAACUCGCUGUGAAGAUGCAGUGUACCCGCGGCAAGACGGAAAGACCCCGUGAACCUUUACUAUAGCUUGACACUGAACAUUGAGCCUUGAUGUGUAGGAUAGGUGGGAGGCUUUGAAGUGUGGACGCCAGUCUGCAUGGAGCCGGCCUUGAAAUACCACCCUUUAAUGUUUGAUGUUCUAACGUGGACCCGUGAUCCGGGUUGCGGACAGUGUCUGGUGGGUAGUUUGACUGGGGCGGUCUCCUCCUAAAGAGUAACGGAGGAGCACGAAGGUUGGCUAAUCCUGGUCGGACAUCAGGAGGUUAGUGCAAUGGCAUAAGCCAGCUUGACUGCGAGCGUGACGGCGCGAGCAGGUGCGAAAGCAGGUCAUAGUGAUCCGGUGGUUCUGAAUGGAAGGGCCAUCGCUCAACGGAUAAAAGGUACUCCGGGGAUAACAGGCUGAUACCGCCCAAGAGUUCAUAUCGACGGCGGUGUUUGGCACCUCGAUGUCGGCUCAUCACAUCCUGGGGCUGAAGUAGGUCCCAAGGGUAUGGCUGUUCGCCAUUUAAAGUGGUACGCGAGCUGGGUUUAGAACGUCGUGAGACAGUUCGGUCCCUAUCUGCCGUGGGCGCUGGAGAACUGAGGGGGGCUGCUCCUAGUACGAGAGGACCGGAGUGGACGCAUCACUGGUGUUCGGGUUGUCAUGCCAAUGGCACUGCCCGGUAGCUAAAUGCGGAAGAGAUAAGUGCUGAAAGCAUCUAAGCACGAAACUUGCCCCGAGAUGAGUUCUCCCUGACCCUUUAAGGGUCCUGAAGGAACGUUGAAGACGACGACGUUGAUAGGCCGGGUGUGUAAGCGCAGCGAUGCGUUGAGCUAACCGGUACUAAUGAACCGUGAGGCUUAACC
rnacentral:rRNA from 1 species